UAGUGCAAUGGCAUAAGCCCGCUUGACUGCGAGAAUGACAAUUCGAGCAGGUGCGAAAGCAGGUCAUAGUGAUCCGGUGGUUCUGAAUGGAAGGGCCAUCGCUCAACGGAUAAAAGGUACUCCGGGGAUAACAGGCUGAUACCGCCCAAGAGUUCAUAUCGACGGCGGUGUUUGGCACCUCGAUGUCGGCUCAUCACAUCCUGGGGCUGAAGUCGGUCCCAAGGGUAUGGCUGUUCGCCAUUUAAAGUGGUACGCGAGCUGGGUUUAGAACGUCGUGAGACAGUUCGGUCCCUAUCUGCCGUGGGCGUUGGAAGAUUGAAGGGGGCUGCUCCUAGUACGAGAGGACCGGAGUGGACGAACCUCUGGUGUUCGGGUUGUGUCGCCAGACGCAUUGCCCGGUAGCUAAGUUCGGAAUCGAUAACCGCUGAAAGCAUCUAAGCGGGAAGCGAGCCCUGAGAUGAGUCUUCCCUGAUACUUUAAGUAUCCUAAAGGGUUGUCGGAGACUACGACGUUGAUAGGUCAGGUGUGUAAGUGCUGUGAGGCAUUGAGCUAACUGAUACUAAUUGCCCGUGAGGCUUAACCAUACAACACCCAAGGGGUUU
rnacentral:rRNA from 1 species